rnacentral:tRNA from 1 species
UGUAGCUCAGUGGUAAAGCACUUGCCUAGCAUGUAUGAGGCACUGGGUUCGAUUCUCAGCA